rnacentral:tRNA from 1 species
CUGUAGCGGAAUGGACAGCGCGUUGGACUUCUAAUCCAAAGGUCGUGGGUUCUAACCCCACCUGAACGA